AGAACGAACGCUGGCGGCAUGCCUAACACAUGCAAGUCGAACGAGACCUUCGGGUCUAGUGGCGCACGGGUGCGUAACGCGUGGGAAUCUGCCCUUAGGUACGGAAUAACAGUGAGAAAUUACUGCUAAUACCGUAUGAUGUCUUCGGACCAAAGAUUUAUCGCCUAGGGAUGAGCCCGCGUUGGAUUAGCUAGUUGGUGGGGUAAAGGCCUACCAAGGCGACGAUCCAUAGCUGGUCUGAGAGGAUGAUCAGCCACACUGGGACUGAGACACGGCCCAGACUCCUACGGGAGGCAGCAGUGGGGAAUAUUGGACAAUGGGCGAAAGCCUGAUCCAGCAAUGCCGCGUGAGUGAAGAAGGCCUUCGGGUUGUAAAGCUCUUUUACCCGGGAACGAUAAUGACUGUACCGGGAGAAUAAGCCCCGGCUAACUCCGUGCCAGCAGCCGC
rnacentral:rRNA from 1 species